rnacentral:rRNA from 1 species
AUGGGGAGCCUAGAGCUUUUCUCGCUUCUCCCCUUCCUAUUGUUCGCCCUUGUCGCCGCCGGGGAAAUCGAAGAGCUCAACACGUACGUCGUCCACGUUCAGCCCAAGGAGAACCACGUGUUCGGCACACCCAGCGACCGGAAGGAGUGGCACCAGUCCUUCCUCCCCGACAAUGACCGUCUCGUCCACUCCUACCACCACGUCGCGAGCGGCUUCGCGGCGCGGCUGACGCGGCGGGAGCUCGACGCCGUCUCCGCCAUGCCCGGGUUCGUCGCCGCGGUGCCGGACGUGAUCUACCGCCUGCAGACCACGCACACCCCGCAGUUCCUCGGGUUGAACACGGCUCUAGGCUAUAGGAACCCGUCCGUCGGGUCCGGCGAUGGCGUCAUCAUCGGGGUGCUCGACACCGGCGUCUUCCCCAACCACCCCUCGUUCAGCGGCAAAGGGAUGCCGCCGCCGCCCGCCAAGUGGAAGGGCAGGUGCGACUUCAACGCCUCCGCGUGUAACAACAAGCUCAUCGGUGCCCGGAGUUUUAUCAGUGAGGGUAGCUCUUCCGGCGGGCCUCCGACCGACGAGGAAGGGCACGGCACGCACACGUCAAGCACCGCGGCCGGAGCCGUCGUGCCGGGCGCUCAGGUGCUUGGCCAGGCCAAUGGCACCGCGUCCGGGAUGGCGCCCCGUGCGCACCUCGCCAUGUACAAGGUUUGCAGCGAGGACGGAUGCGCCAGCGUGGACAUCCUCGCCGGCAUCGACGCCGCCGUGUCCGACGGCUGCGACGUCAUAUCCAUGUCACUCGGCGGAGAGUCGGUGCCCUUCUACCACGACAGCAUCGCUGUCGGCACGUUCGCAGCGGCGGAGAAGGGCAUCUUCGUCAGUAUGGCGGCCGGCAACUCCGGCCCGAACUACACCACGCUGUCCAAUGAUGCGCCAUGGAUGCUCACCGUCGCCGCGAGCACCAUGGACCGUUUGAUCAGCGCCCAAGUGAUCCUCGGAGAUGGCCUCUCCUUCGACGGCGAGUCGGUCUACCAGCCCGACUCCGUGGAGGCCCCGUUGGUGUACGCCGGCGCGAGCUCAACGCCCUUGGCCCAGUUCUGCGGCAACGGCUCGCUGGACGGCUUCGACGUCAAGAACAAGAUAGUGCUCUGCGAGCGUGGCGGCGAUGUUGGGAGGGUUGACAAGGGCAUCGAGGUGCUAAGAGCCGGAGGCGCCGGCAUGAUUCUCACCAAUGAGUUCAUCGACGGCUACAGCUUGCUCGCCGAUGCGCACGUCCUGCCGGCGUCGCACGUCAGCUACGCCGCCGGAGUGGAGAUCAAGAACUACAUCAAGUGCACGCCCAACUGUACGGCCAAGAUCUCCUUCAGAGGCACGGUCCUCGGCACGUCGCCGGCGCCGGCGAUUACCUCCUUCUCCUCCCGUGGCCCUAGCACCCAGAACAUGGACAUCCUCAAGCCGGACAUCACUGGCCCUGGCGUCAGCGUGCUCGCCGCGUGGCCGUUCAAGGUAGGCCCGCCGACAUGCGGCUUCGGCAUGAUGCCGCCGCCGGCCAAGCCGACCUUCAACAUUCUCUCCGGCACGUCCAUGUCGACGCCGCACCUUGCUGGUGUCGCCGCCCUGAUCAAGAGCAAGCACCCCGACUGGUCGCCGGCUGCGAUCAAGUCCGCCAUCAUGACCACCGCCGACGUCACCGACCGCUCCGGCACGCUGAUACUCGACGAGCAGCACAAGACCGCCGACCUCUUUGCCGUCGGGGCCGGCCAUGUCAAUCCGGAGAAGGCCGUGGACCCCGGCCUGGUCUUCGAUGCCGCCGCCGAAGACUACAUCGGCUACCUAUGCGGCAUGUAUACGAACCAGCAAGUCUCGGUGAUCGCGCGCCGGGCGGUGGACUGCUCGGCCGUCAAGGUGAUCCGAGAGUACCAGCUAAACUACCCAUCGAUCUCGCUGAGGUUCCCACAGACAUGGAGCCCGACGUUUGUUAUUGAGGUAGACCGCACUGUGAAGAACGUCGGAGAGGUGCCAGCCACGUACCACCAUCAGGUCGACAUGCCGGCAGACAGCCCUGUGAGCGUCGGCGUUUUCCCGAGCUCCCUAUUGUUCGCCGAGGCGGACCAAGUGCAGAAGUUACAAAUAUUCGUGUGGGCGACCAACAGCAGCGCCACGGCGGUGCAGGGCGCCCUACUGUGGGUGUCGGAGAAGCACACCGUGAGGAUCCCCAUCUCGGUCACCUUUGCCGCAGAAUAG